UACGUAGGAGACGAGCGUUGUCCGGAAUCACUGGGCGUAAAGCGCGUGUAAGCGGAUCGGCAAGUCUGCUGUGAAAGCUCCUGGCUUAACCGGGAGUGGUCGGUGGAAACUGCCAGUCUGGAGGACGGUAGAGGUAGGUAGAAUUCCCGGUGUAGUGGUGAAAUGCGUAGAGAUCGGGAGGAAUACCUGUGGCGAAGGCGCCGCUCUGGGCCGAUACUGACGCUGAGGAGCGAAAGCGUGGGUAGCAAACAGG
rnacentral:rRNA from 1 species